rnacentral:rRNA from 1 species
GAUUAGUGGCGAACGGGUGAGUAACACGUGGGCAAUCUGCCCUUCACUCUGGGACAAGCCCUGGAAACGGGGUCUAAUACCGGAUACCACUACCGCAGGCAUCUGUGGUGGUUGAAAGCUCCGGCGGUGAAGGAUGAGCCCGCGGCCUAUCAGCUUGUUGGUGAGGUAAUGGCUCACCAAGGCGACGACGGGUAGCCGGCCUGAGAGGGCGACCGGCCACACUGGGACUGAGACACGGCCCAGACUCCUACGGGAGGCAGCAGUGGGGAAUAUUGCACAAUGGGCGAAAGCCUGAUGCAGCGACGCCGCGUGAGGGAUGACGGCCUUCGGGUUGUAAACCUCUUUCAGCAGGGAAGAAGCGAAAGUGACGGUACCUGCAGAAGAAGCGCCGGCUAACUACGUGCCAGCAGCCGCGGUAAUACGUAGGGCGCAAGCGUUGUCCGGAAUUAUUGGGCGUAAAGAGCUCGUAGGCGGCUUGUCACGUCGGGUGUGAAAGCCCGGGGCUUAACCCCGGGUCUGCAUUCGAUACGGGCUAGCUAGAGUGUGGUAGGGGA